rnacentral:rRNA from 1 species
GUUUGAUCAUGGCUCAGGAUGAACGCUGGCGGCGUGCUUAACACAUGCAAGUCGAACGAUGAACCCCGCUUGCGGGGGGAUUAGUGGCGAACGGGUGAGUAACACGUGAGUAACCUGCCCUUGACUCUGGGAUAAGCCUGGGAAACCGGGUCUAAUACCGGAUAUGACUUCCUGCCGCAUGGUGGGGGGUGGAAAGCUUUAUUGUGGUCUUGGAUGGACUCGCGGCCUAUCAGCUUGUUGGUGAGGUAAUGGCUCACCAAGGCGACGACGGGUAGCCGGCCUGAGAGGGUGACCGGCCACACUGGGACUGAGACACGGCCCAGACUCCUACGGGAGGCAGCAGUGGGGAAUAUUGCACAAUGGGCGGAAGCCUGAUGCAGCGACGCCGCGUGAGGGAUGACGGCCUUCGGGUUGUAAACCUCUUUCAGUAGGGACGAAGCGAGAGUGACGGUACCUACAGAAGAAGCGCCGGCCAACUACGUGCCAGCAGCCGCGGUAAUAA